CCUACGGGAGGCAGCAGUGGGGAAUAUUGCUCAAUGGAGGGAACUCUGAUGCAGCGACGCCGCGUGAGUGAAGAAGUACUUCGUUAUGUAAAGCUCUAUCAGCAGGGAAGAACGUGCCGGUUCCUGAAAAAGAAGCUCCGGCUAAAUACGUGCCAGCAGCCGCGGUAAUACGUAUGGCGCAAGCGUUAUCCGGAUUUACUGGGUGUAAAGUGAGAGUAGGUGGCAGAGCAAGUCCGAAGUGAAAACCCAAAGCUCAACUAUGGGAAUGCUUUAGAAACUGGUCAGCUAGAGUGCAGGAGAGGCAAGUGGAAUUCUUAGUGUAGCGGUGAAAUGCGUAGAUAUUGCGCAGAACUCCGAUGGCGAAGGCAGCAAACCGGCGGCGAUCUGACGCUGAGGCACGAAAGCGUGGGUAUCGAACAGGAUUAGAUACCCUGGUAGUC
rnacentral:rRNA from 1 species